rnacentral:misc_RNA from 1 species
GCAUAAACCACGCUAGAGCUCCUCCAUAUAACAUAACAAUAAAAAAAAAGUACAAAUAAAUUAAAAUUAAAAAGUGAAUAUUUUGAAUUACCUAUUUCCCCAUUUGGAGUGAAGUUCAAGAACAAGACGUUCUUCUUGAGGAGUCAUUUUUCCAUGUUUGAGAUCAGGAUUCAAAUAAUUAACCCAACGUAACCUACAACUCUUACCUGUUCUUUUCAACCUGUUAUUUGGGAUAAAAGAUAGAGAGACUAUUUUUUUGUACUA